rnacentral:rRNA from 1 species
UAAGGGAUAUUGCGCUAAUGGGCGAAAGCCUGACGCAGCAACGCCGCGUACGGGAUGACGGCCUUCGGGUUGUAAACCGUUUUACGGGGAGAAGAGGGAGGACGGUAUCCCCGCAACAAGUCUCGGCUAACUACGUGCCAGCAGCCGCGGUAAAACGUAGGAGGCGAGCGUUAUCCGGAUUUACUGGGUGUAAAGCGCGUGUAGGCGGUGGUGGAAGUCGUGUGUGAAAGCGCCUGGCUCAACCGGGCGAGGUCAUGCGACACUCCACGACUGGAGGCAGGUAGAGGCGGGUGGAAUUCCGGGUGUAGUGGUGAAAUGCGUAGAGAUCCGGAGGAACACCAGUGGCGAAGGCGACCCGCUGGGCCUGACCUGACGCUCAGACGCGACAGCACGGGGAGCGAACGGG